GCCAGCGUGGUGCAGUGGUUCGAGUGCUGGACUGCAAUUCUGGAGACCAGGGUUUGAUUUCCAGCUGGCC